CGCCUGUGUGGCCCAAUGGCAAGGCGCUUGACUACAAUGCCGUCGAAAUCAAGAGAUCGCAGGUUCGUUCGAUCCCUGCCACGGUGA